CGUGAGCGGCGGACGGGUGAGUAACGCGUGGGUAACCGUGCCUCAUACAGGGGGAUAACAGUUGGAAACGGCUGCUAAUACCGCAUAAGCGCACAGUACCGCAUGGUACGGUGUGAAAAACUCCGGUGGUAUGAGAUGGACCCGCGUCUGAUUAGGUAGUUGGUGGGUAACGGCCUACCAAGCCGACGAUCAGUAGCCGACCUGAGAGGGUGACCGGCCACAUUGGGACUGAGACACGGCCCAA
rnacentral:rRNA from 1 species